AAUCCCUAUAAAAGAACACUUUGAAAAUGCCAAGUUGGGAGAUGGAACACUAUGAAAUAUACCAAAUAUCACAUGACCUGAAAUGCAAUUACAACAGUUCAUCAUUAUGAGGUGGAGAACUCAGACACACAAAAUAAUUGUGUUGCUACCUGCACAGUUGUGCGUGUGAGGUGGGGAUGAUCUGGGUUAUAUCUUUUCUUGCAUUUUGGCUGUCAGAGUGAGGGAGUAAAACUCUGAAGGAGAUGAACAUUGCAUAUCAUUACCUGAACCCAAAAGUCAACAGUGGACAAAGCAGCAGUGCAGUUAAACGAAUCAGUUGAAUGGUAAGUUAUGUUUGAGUCUGGUGAAUUGUGUUAUCUACCACCUUGUCCCACUGACUUCCUGUAUGACCUUAGAUCAGGUCACUCCACUUUUCUUUUCUCA